CCCUUAGAUGUUCUGGGCCGCACGCGCGCUACACUGAUGCAUUCAACGAGUUUCUUCCUGGUCCGAGAGGAAUGGGUAACCUUUUGAAAGUGCAUCGUGAUAGGGAUAGACUAUUGCAAUUAUUGGUCUUCAACGAGGAAUUCCUAGUAGACGUAGUUCAUCAGACUGCAUCGAUUACGUCCCUGCCCUUUGUACACACCGCCCGUCGCUCCUACCGAUUGAAUGCUCAGGUGAGCCAUUCGGACUUUCAUCAUGCUGGUUUCCAGUUUUGAUGAAGGAAAGUCUUGCGAAACUUAUCAUUUAGAGGAAGGAGAAGUCGUAACA
rnacentral:rRNA from 1 species